rnacentral:rRNA from 1 species
UACGGAGGGUGCAAGCGUUAUCCGGAUUCACUGGGUUUAAAGGGUGCGUAGGAGGGCAGGUAAGUCAGUGGUGAAAUCUCCGGGCUCAACUCGGAAACUGCCGUUGAUACUAUCUGUCUUGAAUAUCGUGGAGGUGAGUGGAAUAUGUCAUGUAGCGGUGAAAUGCUUAGAUAUGACAUAGAACAUCGAUUGCGAAGGCAGCUCGCUACACUAUUAUUGACACUGAGGCACGAAAGCGUGGGGAUCAAACAGG